rnacentral:rRNA from 1 species
CUGGUUGAUCCUGCCAGUAGUCAUACGCUCGUCUCAAAGAUUAAGCCAUGCAUGUCUAAGUAUAAACGAUUUUGUACUGUGAAACUGCGAAUGGCUCAUUAAAACAGUUAUCGUUUAUUUGGUGGUCAUUCAUUACAUGGAUAACCAUGGUAAUUCUAGAGCUAAUACUUGCACCCAGACCCGACUUCGUGGAAGGGUUGUGUUUAUUAGGUACAGAACCAACCCAGGCUCUGCCUGGUCCUUUGGUGAUUCAUGAUAACCGAACGAAUCGCAUAGCAUCAGCUGGCGAUGAAUCAUUCAAAUUUCUGACCUAUCAGCUUCCGACGGUAGGGUAUUGGCCUACCGUGGCAAUGACGGGUAACGGAGAAUUAGGGUUCGAUUCCGGAGAGGGAGCCUGAGAAACGGCUACCACAUCUAAGGAAGGCAGCAGGCACGCAAAUUACCCAAUGACCGAAGGUCGAGGUAGUGACGAAAAAUAACGAUAGAGGACUCAUCCGAGGCCCGCUAAUUGGAAUGAGUACACUUUAAAACCGUCCCCGAGGAUCUAUUGGAGGGCAAGUCUGG